GAUUUCUUUGUGACUGUUUGAAAAAACAAAUAAAAGAGAAUUCGUUUAUUAAAAUUUUUAAAUUAAACAGUUUUUAUUAAAAAAAAAAUGUUUUUAUGGCCGUUUAUGUGUUGAACGAACGUGAACGAUAUUAUCAAGGUAGAAUCGAAAGACUUCACUUGAGAGACCAUUAUCCACAAGAGUUUUGCUGAAAUGUUUCUACUAGUCGACUUGAGAGCAGCUAUUUGUUAAGUUCAUAUCAAAGUUCAGUUCAAAAGGAUACCGAUAUUGCUAUGGGUAGAAGCACAGUCCCUAAAAUUUCAUCCGAAAUGAUUAAUGUUUUAGAAAAUAUUUUGUGUCCGAAGUAGAUUAAGUUCCAAAUGUCAGAAGUUGAUUCCAGAAAGCAAUCAUUCAUUUGUACAUUUGUUACAUUUUGUACAAAAAUUUGGAAUACCAGUAAUAAUAGGAUGCUUUGAUAGCACUCAUGCAGCUACGGUAAAAACCAUUUGUAAAGGAAUUUUUUUUUAUUAACAGAAAGGUUUUAGCAUAAAUUCGAAUGAAUUCUUAUUGUAUUACGAUUUGAAAAAGGAAAAUGUUAAAACUUUAACCGAAUACGAUUUGUAGAACAUGCCUUAUUUUAAAAUAUUAAUGUUACUCAAGUUAUUGUAUUGCGGUUAGUUAAUAAAAUAAAUUCGUUGCAGACUUUACAGCACGA